rnacentral:piRNA from 1 species
UGACAUCGUGAUGGGAGUACCCUUCCU